UACGUAGGGACCGAGCGUUGUCCGGAAUCAUUGGGCGUAAAGAGCGUGUAGGCGGCUCGCUAAGUCUUGCGUGAAAUCUCGGGGCUCAACCCCGAGCGGUCGUGAGAAACUGGCGGGCUAGAGUGCGGGAGAGGAGAGUGGAAUUCCUGGUGUAGCGGUGAAAUGCGCAGAUAUCAGGAAGAACACCCGUGGCGAAGGCGGCUCUCUGGAACGCAACUGACACUGAGACGCGAAAGCGUGGGGAGCAAACAGG
rnacentral:rRNA from 1 species